UGUUGUUUUUCUGAAAAUCAAUUUAAGAACUGUUCAUUUUUAGUUGUUAAGACUUUAUCGGCUUACUGCUAUUUUUUGGAUUUUUCUUGAAUGCACUUUUCAGUUAACAAGUCAACAUCAAUUUCUUUUGUUGUAAAACGGUAAAAGGAAGGUGGCUUUAUCUUCGGAUGAAGUGUUUAUAGCCUUUUACUUCUGCAAUCGGAGAGAUUGAGGUCUGCAGCGUAGAUCCUUCGGGGUUAGAUACUUCUAUGCUAAGCUAUAGUCCUAUAUAGACAACUUGUUGACUAUGUUCGAUCCUGUAACUUACUCGUAGAUACUAUUUUACCUAC
rnacentral:rRNA from 1 species